rnacentral:rRNA from 1 species
AUACGUAGGUGACAAGCGUUAUCCGGAUUUACUGGGCGUAAAGGGCGUGUAGGCGGUCUUGCAAGUCAGAAGUGAAAUUCCUGAGCUCAACUCGGGCGCUGCUUCUGAAACUGCAGGACUUGAGUGCUGGAGGGGAUAGCGGAAUUCCUAGUGGAGCGGUAAAAUGCGCAGAUAUUAGGAAGAACACCGGUGGCGAAGGCGGCUAUCUGGACAGUAACUGACGCUGAGGCGCGAAGGCGUGGGGAGCAAACAGGAUUAGAUCCCCUGGUAGGCCACGCCGUAAACGAUGAAUACUAGGUGUAGGGGGUAUCGACUCCCUCUGUGCCGCAGUUAACACAAUAAGUAUUCCGCCUGGGGAGUACGGCCGCAAGGUUGAAACUCAAAUGAAUUGACGGG